rnacentral:rRNA from 1 species
GAUGAACGCUAGCUACAGGCUUAACACAUGCAAGUCGAGGGGUAACAAGAGAAAAGCUUGCUCUUCUUGUUGACGACCGGCGCACGGGUGAGUAACGCGUAUCCAACCUGCCUAUAACUAGGGAAUAACCUUGCGAAAGUAAGACUAAUAACCUAUGAUUUCCUUUGAUGAAAUCAGAUUAGGAAUAAAGAUUUAUCGGUUAUAGAUGGGGAUGCGUCUGAUUAGCUUGUUUGCGGGGUAACGGCCCACCAAGGCAACGAUCAGUAGGGGUUCUGAGAGGAAGGUCCCCCACAUUGGAACUGAGACACGGUCCAAACUCCUACGGGAGGCAGCAGUGAGGAAUAUUGGUCAAUGGGCGGAAGCCUGAACCAGCCAAGUAGCGUGCAGGAUGACGGCCCUAUGGGUUGUAAACUGCUUUUAUACAGGAAUAAAGUUAGCCACGUGUGGUUAUUCGUAGGUACUGUAUGAAUAAGGACCGGCUAAUUCCGUGCCAGCCGCCGCCGUAA